UACGAAGGGGGCUAGCGUUGCUCGGAAUCACUGGGCGUAAAGGGCGCGUAGGCGGACUUUUAAGUCGGGGGUGAAAGCCCAGGGCUCAACCCUGGAAUUGCCUUCGAUACUGAGAGUCUUGAGUUCGGAAGAGGUUGGUGGAACUGCGAGUGUAGAGGUGAAAUUCGUAGAUAUUCGCAAGAACACCGGUGGCGAAGGCGUCCCUCUGGCCGGAUACUGACGCUGAGACGCGAAAGCGUGGGGAGCAAACAGG
rnacentral:rRNA from 1 species